UGCCGUGUUGUUUUUUUCUGUGCUUCUUUUAUGUUAUUAUAUUACUAAUAACUAAUUGAAGACAUAUUACAGCAGUCGUGUUACUCGUGUACACGCUAAUCAUUAUUGUGUAGAUCGUUGAGAUUAAAAUAUAAUAGUGUAACUUAAAAUACGCUUUAAUAUUGAUUUACCAUAAGAACUAAUAACUGCACACAACAAUAUUUAAGUUAUAUUUUAUACAUUCAACUUAAUAUGACAUACCACAUAGUAAUAUUCAUAAAAGAAGAUACAGUUGAAGUUGUACAAUCUCAUUGGCUGUCAAAAGAUGGAACUACUUGUGCUUGGCCUCAUAGAAAUUUAGAUCCAAAAAAACAGAUUGAAAAAAAAAACAAAUCGUAAUACAUCAGAUUUCAAUUGGUAUGAUGUUCGUAUUUUAGCAAAAGAUAUUGCAAGUUUAAAAGAUGCCAAAAUAAAAUGUAGUAAAGUAACUCAUACCUCAGAUUUAUCAGAAAUUGAAAAUAAAGAAACUAGAAAACUUCGAUGCAAAAUACUUGGAGAUGCUGAUAAUUAUGGUUUUCAAUUAAAAAAAAAAAAAUCUUUCCGCAUGUGUAAAAUCACCAAAAAUAUUUAGUCCUCCCAAAUUAAUUGCUGAUACAGACAAUUCAGAUUUUGAUGACUCUGAUACUGAUUAUACAUUUGCUCCUCCGAAUAUGAAUUCAUGUGUUAAAAAGUCUCCUGUAAAAUAUUUUGAAGUAAAAAUGAGUGAAAAGCAACAAAACAUCAUGUCAAAAAACAAUAGUUAUCAAUCCCCUUCUAGAAAGUUAUCUCUUGAUG